ACAGGCAAGGGUGAAAGGGUGCGGUAAGAGCGCACCGGGCCGCUGGCAACAGCGGUCGCAUGGCAAACCCCACCCGGAGCAAGGCCAAAUAGGGGACGAGGGGGCCGCCUGUCCCAUCCGAGUCCCGGGUAGGCCGCUCGAGGUCCGGAGCAAUCCGGAUCCCAGAGAAAUGAUCCCGGUCCGCCCCCCGGGGCGCGACAACAGAACUCGGCUUAUGACGCCCGUCCUCCU
rnacentral:RNase_P_RNA from 1 species